GGGGGUGCAGCUCAGUGGUAGAGCACAUGCUUAGCAUGUAUGAGGUCCUGUGUUCAAUCCCACCACCA
rnacentral:tRNA from 1 species